rnacentral:rRNA from 1 species
GACGAACGCUGGCGGCGUGCUUAACGCAUGCAAGUCGAACGGAAAGGCCCUGCUUUUGUGGGGUGCUCGAGUGGCGAACGGGUGAGUAACACGUGAGUAACCUGCCCUUGACUUUGGGGUAACUUCAGGAAACUGGGGCUAAUACCGGAUAGGAGCUCCUGCUGCAUGGUGGGGGUUGGAAAGUUUCGGCGGUUGGGGAUGGACUCGCGGCUUAUCAGCUUGUUGGUGGGGUAGUGGCUUACCAAGGCUUUGACGGGUAGCCGGCCUGAGAGGGUGACCGGCCACAUUGGGACUGAGAUACGGCCCAGACUCCUACGGGAGGCAGCAGUGGGGAAUAUUGCACAAUGGGCGGAAGCCUGAUGCAGCAACGCCGCGUGCGGGAUGACGGCCUUCGGGUUGUAAACCGCUUUCGCCUGUGACGAAGCGUGAGUGACGGUAAUGGGUAAAGAAGCACCGGCUAACUACGUG